GGGUGAACUGUUACUUUAAGCCUUGUCUGUGGAACUGAAGGAUAGAUGUUUUAGAUUUUUUUAAUUUUUUUUUUUACAUUUUGAGAUUUUUGAUUUAGUCAUAAUUCAUAACUCCGAUAUUUAUUAUUGCAAUAAGAGCAGACAUGUUGCAAGGAGACUUACGCUGGACCAGUGACAGUUGCAGUAUGUGCUGUCUGGAUUUGACUUUAAUUAAGGUAUUUCAUACCUUUAUUUUUAUUUUCUUACCAUAUAAAAGACAGCAUGAUGUCAAAUCAAAUGCAUACUAAACUCAUAACUAGCCAUAGAUAAAGAAAUAGAAAUCAACAUAUAUAUCAUUUAUUUAAAUGUAUUUAUUUUGGGCCCCACAAGUUUUUGCCACAAGUUUCUGUCUCUGCCCUGGACAUUAGGCCUAUGUAUCAGAUUCUGUGUACUAGGCCUACUCUUGUAAGAAUAUGUUGCUACAUUUGUAAAAUUUAGUAAAACUUCAACAGUUAACUCUGGAGUUCGUCUUUUCAUUUGUGUUGGACUUUAUUAUUAUGAAGUUUGUAUAAUAUAUAAAUCAAGAAAACAGAGAGAAAAAAUACAAAAUAAAUGAAUAAAUAAGAGGUGCCAGGGGGAGGUAGAAAUAAAAAAAUAAAAAUAAAAAACUGGGGAAUCUAGUAUAAAAAUAUCAAGUAAAUACUUUGUAAAGUUAAUUUGUGUUCGAGUCACGGGGCAAAAAAAAAACAAAGCUCUUAACGUCGACUGUAAGGGUGCAAGCUCAGAAAAUACACAGAUAAUACAACAGGGGGCGACAUGGCGGCCACUCAGGACUGUAGUUUGGAAAUUUAAAAGAAAACCAGCUAUGGCACUUCCCGACCUGCACCGCGGCUAAGGCAUGAUCUGACGGUUAUCAAAAAUUAUCAAAAAAUAAUUAUAAAUUAUAGAAGCAAACAAUUCAACAAGAGAUAACUAGAAUCGCUUAUUUUAACCAAAGUGCAAUAAAUCCGUUUGUGAAAAAAAAUAUUUUUCACUGAGGAAAAUUUAUAUUUAUUUUUUUAUCUGUCCCGUGUCAUCACAGUGGUAGAGCUGCUGCAGUGGAACAUUGGCGCCAUUUUCAAACUUCAGAGCCUCAGUGACUGGAACACUUCUAACAGCUACAUUAUGAUUUUUUUUUUCGAAUUCUUUUCUCAAGAUUCUUUAUUACAUUAACACAUUUUUUUGACAAAUAUUGGGAACUGGAAGAGGAUUUUCAUAAAAGGUGCAGGAGACAGACUACACUUGAAGAGGGGAGUCCGGCGGGUUACUUUGGGAAUACCAGGCACCUUUUCCUCUCCCCUGUUGCCUAACAUGCUGGAGAACGGGGAUCGAGGGUAAGUGAAAUCUUUCCUGUGUCCGUUUCAAAGCUUAACCAAACGGCCCCUGGUUUGAAUGGGUGAGCAAAGUUAGGCCAGGGUGUGUAUGUGUCUAUGUGUGAGCUUCUCUUUUAGGUCUCCCUCUCCCACCCAUUGCUGUCUAUCCUUUUCUCAUUUUCUCUCUCUCCCUCUCUUUUGCUAACACCCCCCACCCCCCUUUCUCUCCCUCUCUCGAUGAACGACGGGCAGAAGUAGACAGAAGCAAAUGCCUUCUGCAACUGUGCUGACGUGAUCAUUUGACUCAGACCUUAAAUAGGCUGCCCUUUAUGAGAUGUAACUGUGUUUGUCAGGGUUGAUUGAACUAAAAGUAUAAUAAUAUAAAACAUUAAAUAGCAUGCGUUUUUGAAGAACGUUUGGCUUUUGUGUAACACAAAUUUAGCCUGCAUUUUGCUAUAGAUAAACUUCCUCUUUUUUCUGCACUUUAACUUUGUGAUGAUGUCUCAUAUCUUUAAGCAAAAAUUAAACAUCAUGUUUUGGCAUAUUACAACAGUCAGAAUUAAUUAUUUUGUAUUUAGGCCUUGAUUUUCUGCUGACAUUAGAACUUCAUCACACAACAUAGGGUGUGGUGUACUUAAAAGAAAAAAUUGAAGCCCUUCAAAAAUACUUGGUGUUUCUUUUUCUCUGCCACAACAGUUGAGAUUAUAAAUAUCAAAUACUUUUUUAGUCCUUUCAACUUUUGUCAGUCGGUUGGUUUUGAGCAAAAUAGAAAUAAAAUUAGUUUUUCAGUAAAACAGUGAUUAUUAUUGUGGUUUUCCUACUUAAUUGAUGCCACAUUUAUGUUGUUCCAGUGUUGUAGGUGUAAGCUUUUUCCUAAAAAUGUUUUUAAAAAAAAUGUACAAGCCAAGUAAAAAAAAAAAAAAAAAUAAUGAUAAAAAAUGUAAUGUAGUGAUGGGCCAAGAUCUUUCUGCCAUUUACCUUUUACACACUACAACGAACGAUCUGUCAUAUACCCUCACCGCUUUGACCAUCACUGGCUUUUUACAGAUGAACAAUACAAUAAUUCAUCUUUAAACUAAUCAGGUGGUGUCAAAGUCACACUUUUUAAAAAAUCAGAUGUUCCUCCCUUUUUUCUCACCUUACUCGUUCUCUUUAGCUCUCCAUAAUUAAAAUCUACUAUGUUAUUCGAUAUAUUGCAGAACUUAAAGUUACAAAAGUUGUAAUUAUUACUUUUUUAUAUAUAUUUUUACUUUUUAAUUUUUGUUAAUCUAUUCUUGCCCCCUUUUGCUAAAUAUUUGUCUUUGUGAAAAUGAUUCUUGUGGAGUGUACAAGCAUUCUUUUCUUUCUGUCCUUAUAUUUGCUAUUUACAUUUGGACAAAUUUUACUUUUAAUCCCUGGAAUUCUUUAAGUUAAUGUAACAAUUACGAUCGGAUAAUUAAAAUAUUCAAUGUUAUAUUACUGUAUGUGUAAUGCUAUUAGAUAUACUUUGAUUUAUUACAGUGAUACUUAAUCUUGUUUCACAAUAUCAGGCCCAAGAAGUUUAAACAUUAGAGAUGCAUUUUUUUGAAGAAAAGAAAUAAUAAUAAUAAAUUAUAAUUUUUACUUGCUUAAUUUUACCCACAGUAGAUUAUUCCCCUGAUAAUAAAACCUUUUUGACAGGCGCUAGUUUUUUCUCCUCAUCUCCCCUCCUUUGUUAUCCUCCAUUUUGUCUUCAUCCUCAACAUCCAUUUUAGGACAGUGUGUGCACAGUAACUCACUUAUUAAGUCUCAAAGGGCAUUAUUAGACUGGCAUUAAAAAGAUGUGGGUGACCACAAGCUUCCUCAUGAUUGUCUGUGCCAGAGAAAUUGCAGUAAUGCUGUCACUCUUUGCUGUCACACAACUUUUUAUUACAUUUUUCAGAAACAAAAGAAGUGAACUGUUCACAUUGGUUUCUCAUCGAAUUUUGUUCUGUCAUUAUUUUUUAAUAAUUUAGUCAUGGUGCUUAAUAUGCAUAAGACAUUCAACAAUUAAUUUUGUCCCUAAUCUUGUCCUAGUGAGGACCAUCGAAGUCUGUCGUCAUCUUUUUAUUUAGCCCAGAAUGCCCUGUAGCAGCACAUCAUGGUUUGUAAGUUCUUAGGGCAAAUUCCAAAUUAUGAUGUGCUGUCACUGGGAGCCUGGGAGUUUCUCCAUUAACAUGACAGCAUUAAACACCUAGUGAUCUGCUUAUAUCAUAAAUAAAUGCAUCAGAGGUAAGCUUAUUGAUUACAAGUAGUGUGAAAUGCUGUCUGUAUUGUUUUGUACUGUAUUUAGAAUUAGGCUAUUAAAACUGUCUUCCAGAUUUAUGAGUAAAAAUGUGACAAAGCAGAGUUUUUUUUCCCAACUCAAAUGAUAUUUUUACAAAUGACCAGACAAACAAUAAAUGAUUCAUGACUGAAUCACCAGGUGUGGCUUGGGUGGCCUCUUCAGGGAGUUAUUCUCUGACAGCUGAGAAUUCACAUCCUUUGUUUGCUAGGCUGUAUUUUAGGAGAUCGGCAUUGCUUUUUUUCUCUCUCUGAUAGUAUAACCAUUAAAGCUAUGAAUUAAUCUGCAUAUAUUUUGUAUGUUCCCUUCGUCCUCUUUCCUCCCUUGGACCACUUGAUGCCUCAGUGUGCCUGACAGUAGCAGCACAUCAAUAUUGGCAGCUGCCCUCUCCCUGGGUUGCCAGUAUGGUUUGUGCUGCUCCCGUCAGACAGACACACUCAGCGACUCUCCAGUAUUUGGAGCAGUAUGGAAACCACCUGUCCAGAAAUGAAUUACUGUAUGUAUUUUACAUUGACAAUCUCAUAAUUAAAAUGAAAGCCAUUCUUGCAUAAAAAAACAUCAUUAAAACAACAAAAACAAAA